ACCGGCGCGACGGGUGAGUAACGCGUAUCGCAACCUACCUAUACAGGAGGGGAACGUAACCCGGCGAAAGUCGGACUAAUACCGCAUAAAACAGGGGCACCGCAUGGUGAUAUUUGUUAAGAAAUUCGCUGAUAGAUGGGCAUGCGUUCCAUUAGGUAGUUGGUGAGGUAACGGCUCACCAAGCCGACGAUGGAUAGGGGAACUGAGAGGUUGGUCCCCCACACUGGUACUGAGACACGGACCAGACUCCUACGGGAGGCAGCAGUGAGGAAUAUUGGUCAAUGGGCGGGAGCCUGAACCAGCCAAGUCGCCGUGAAGGAAGAAGGAUCUAUGGUUCGUAAACUUCUUUUGCAGGGGAAUAAAGUGCAGGACGUGUCCUGUUUUGUAUGUACCCUGAGAAUAAGGAUCGGCUAACUCCGUGCCAGCCGCCGC
rnacentral:rRNA from 1 species